CCGUUUUUGCCAAUUUGUAAACUACCGUUCUUCUAAGCCGUAGGUCACACGUUCGAAUCGUGUAGGGCGGGCCA
rnacentral:tRNA from 1 species